rnacentral:rRNA from 1 species
UACGGAGGGUGCAAGCGUUAUCCGGAUUCACUGGGUUUAAAGGGCGCGUAGGCGGUCAGCACAAGUCAGUUGUGAAAUCUCCGAGCUUAACUCGGAAAGGUCAACUGAUACUGUGCGACUAGAGUGCGGAAGGGGCAACUGGAAUUCUCGGUGUAGCGGUGAAAUGCGUAGAUAUCUGGAGGAACACCGGUGGCGAAGGCGGCAUUCUGGACCGAUAUUGACGCUGAGGCACGAAGGUCAGGGGAGCAAACGGG